UACGGAGGGUGCGAGCGUUGUCCGGAAUCACUGGGCGUAAAGCGUGCGUAGGUGGUUCGUUAAGUCUGAUGUGAAAGCCCUGGGCUCAACCUGGGGAUGGCAUUGGAAACUGGCGACCUAGAGUGCGGUAGAGGGUAGUGGAAUUCCCGGUGUAGCGGUGAAAUGCGUAGAUAUCAGGAGGAAUACCGGUGGCGAAGGCGGCCUUCUGGACGGUGACUGACGCUGAGACGCGAAAGCGUGGGGAGCAAACAGG
rnacentral:rRNA from 1 species